CACCUAGGUGAUGUGACUGACCACUUCUGCCUGGGCCAUGCCGAAAAAAGGAGAUUGUGACAUAUCACUGCAUUCAAUACCUAGAUGAUGGUUUCGCCGUGUUGGCCGGACUGGUCUGCAGCUCCUGACCACGAGUGAUCUGCUAGCCUCGGCCUCCCGAGGUGCCGGGAUUGCAGACGGAGUCUCGCUCACUUAGUGCUCAAUGUUGC
rnacentral:lncRNA from 1 species